CUCUCCUUAAUGGCCUCUAAUCUUGUGUUAACCCUCAUCAUAUCACUUACACUCUUCUUGAAAAAGUUGUUAAUGAUCUCCAUGUUCACAAAUAAACUGGAAAAAUUUCAGUAUCAUUUAUUUUGAUUUCCAAAGGGUUUUUUAACACAGUUGAACACUUUCUUUAAAGAUUCUCUCCUCUAGGCUUUUUGACACCUUUACUCUCUGAUUUUUCUGUUUCUGUGGCUAUUUCUUCUUAGCAUUUCUACUUCCUCCUUUUUUUCUACCCUCUUCCUUAUCACCACAAUAUAUCCCCACACACACCCCCAUCAGUUGUCACCUCUGUUUUAACCAGUACUCAAUCCAUUCAUUUAUCUUUAUUUCUACUGCUACGAAUCCAGUCAAAACCCAAACUCUCUAGCACCUGACUUUUUUUCAGUUCCUCAACUACCAUGUUUUUAACACCUUAGCAUCUUUCUCCACUCUCAUCUCGCCAGAUGGAAAAUGCCAUUCCUCCCUAAUGGUGUCCUGGCCAACUCUCACCCUACUCAGAGUUGAGUUUAGUUACAAAGUCAUGUCUGACUCUUGCAACCCCACAGCCUGUAGCCCGCCAGGCUCUUCUGUCCAUGGAAUUCUCCAGGCAAGAAUACUGGAGUGGGUUGCCAUUUCCUUAUCCAGGGACCCUACACAGAGUCUCAGCUUAAAUACCAUCACCUCAGAGACAACCUCAUCUCUCUACCUAAAUUAGGUCUUCCCACAAUUAUUUAUCAUUUUUCUUCAUAAAAUAUAUUACUAAUUACAAUUAUAUAUUUGCUUAUUUUAUUUCUUUAACAUUGUCUCUAGUAAGUAGGUUGUAAGUUUGAUGAGGGCAGGAAUACUGUCUUUUAAAUCACUUUUGUUGAUAUAAUAGUGAUAAUUUUUCUCUCUGGAGUUAGAUUACCGAAUGUAUAUUCUGAGUAUAGGACUAGCUAUGACUUUGGGGAAGUUAUAUAAUCUUUUAUUCUUCAGUCCUCUUAUCACAAAAAUGUGAAUAAUAAUUAAAUAUGUCUAAUAGGGUUGUGGCAAGGACUUAAUGAAAUAAUAUGUGUUAGAUUAGCAGAAAGUCUAGCACAUGGCAUUGUAUGCUUUUUAAAUAUUUUCCAUUGGUAUUUUUAUUAUUAUUUUUUCUGGUGCAGUGCAUGGAACAUAGUUGGUGCUCAAUAAA
ensembl:lncRNA